CCCUCGCGUCCCGCCCCUCCCGUAGGCCGACCCUCUCCUCGCCCUUGGCCCCGCCUUAGACUCCGCCCCCAGGCUCCGCCCCGUCCCCCGCGGGCCAGCGAGGAUCCUCCACAGACUUGCGGCUGCGCGGAGCGGUGUGACCCAGCGGGGUUGGCGACGUCUGCACGCCGGUGCUGGGCAGGCCUCUCCUUCUCGCUCUUGAUAGCGCUUCUGUGGGUUCUCAUUCUGGGUAAGAAUGGAGUAAGUACACUCCAUCCUGCCUCUCCCACUGACUGUAAUCAUAAAACCUGGGCAGACCGCAUAGAGCACCCAUAGGAAGACUGAAAAGUAAACAGUAGCAGGUUGAAUGAAAAGAGGACUUAAAGUGCCAAUGAACUGGAGGUGGGUCAGAGAGAUGAGACAGAAGACAAAGAGGACAGAUUUGAAGCAUGAAAGGGACUCAACCCAAAGUUGUGGCCUUUGGAGAUGGAGGAAGGAAGCCUCAAGUCAUGGAAUGCAGCAGUGCCCGGUGGGAGCUGGGAAUGAUGCUCAGCUGACAACCAGCAAGAAGGCAGGACACUCAGUCAUAGACCUCAAGGAACUAAAUUCUGUCAACAAGCUGAGUGAGCAGAAAAUGCAUUCCCCCCUCCAGCCUCUGCAGAGGGACAGGUUGUGUCCUGUUAUGUUUGGCCUGGUGAGAGCUGUUCAGGACCUCUGACCUCCAGAAGUAAGAUUAUAAAUCUGUGUUGUUUUAAGCCACUAACCUUGUGGUAAUUCAUUAUGGUAAUUCAAUGGAAAACCAUAGAGCAAUAUUUAGGGGUUCAUCCUUUGCACGGAUUCCUCCCUGGAUUACUCCUCUAACUUUCCAAUUCUACUGGCCUCAAACUCUUUUUGUCCCCGCCCAGUCAGUAGGCUGUAGCUCUCUGCAGUUGGAGCAGCCCCUGUCUUGGGGGCCUGCCCUCGGGUAAAAAGCUGCCAACUCACAAAUCUCAACAAUUUCUGUUCAUCUUUCAAGGUUGCUCUCCUAUUCAGUUUCUGCUUUCUUUUGGUCAUUCUCCAAGGCCUUCAAAUGCUGCUUUUAAAAGUUUUGCUCAACUUUUAUCAUCGUCAUCUGCAGGAAGAUUAGUCCACCAUUACCAAAAGCUGGGACCUCACUAUACU